rnacentral:lncRNA from 1 species
AAAAAAAAAAAAAAGAAAGUUCUGGCCACCCUAGAAGAUGCCAGCUUGAAAGUCCUGGAAAAUAAUAUUGGCAACAUGUUGUACAAGACCUUGAAUACUAGAAUGAAAUGAUAUGGUAUAAAUUGAUUUUUUUUUUUUACUGGAAGAGAUAAGCCUAAAAAUUAAAAUGCUACUGUACAUUACUAAAGUAAUUUGGAAAUAAUCUUUCUUGACUAUUAACUUUGGGAUAAAUUUUUGAAAGGGUGCUUUAGGUAUUACAUAUAGGGAACUAUGUCAUCAUGAAAUUUGAGACAUAAUGCUAAUGAAAGUGGGAACAUAUUAAAUUCUUAUGGUCUAAUAAUUACCUCAGGCUUAGCUUACAACAUUAGUCCAGAGUUUGGAGAAUUAAAAUGAUUUUUAUUGUUUGACAUGGAAAAAUAAUUCUAAAUUUAUGGGAAGAGUCAUUAGAGCCAGAUAGAUAAAUUCAUCUGAAAUAUGCCAUGUGAAAAGAGCAAUAAGAUACAUUUCCUCAAGAAUUUUCAAGAUAACAUAAUAUACUUCUCACUUUAUGGUAAAAUACCCCUUUAUUAUCUGGGUCAAUAGUUUACUAUUACAAUAUAAAUCAUAGAAAAGGAAUAUAUUUUUGAGUCCAUGUAAAACACAUUCCAGAUAGAGGCUGAUCUCUAUUUUCAUUUUAUCCAGUAUUCUCAUUUCUUCAUAUUCUGAGAAGACUUGCAUUCAUGAUGUCAUUACUCCGUCAUUAUUUUCCAUUUUGUUAAAAUACUACUGCGCAACCCUGAAACACAUUCCUCAUAAUCUUAGCUAAUGGAAGAGCUUGCCACAGGUGGUAGAGCCUGGACAAACGAGAUCUGGAAAGGGUACGACUAAUAUUUGCUGCUACUUUCAGAUUGUAAUAGCUACCAGGGGACUGUAGAAUAGGUAAUGGAUUUUUUAAAACUGAGUAAAGAGUGGUGCUCUGUCACACUUAACUGAAAUAGAUUAAAAAAUUAAUUUUAAUCAGUAGUUCUUAACUUUUUAAUGUGUUGAGAAUCUAAUGAAAGUUAUCGACUCCCCAGAAAAAUACAGAGUUGUAUAUACAGCCGAAAAUUUGCAUGUGCCUGAAGGUUUUACGAACCUCCUGAAUGUCUCAUUGAAUGCCAGGUAAAGAAUUCCUCUAUCAGUUCUGUUACUUUAAUGGAUAGAAUUGUAGCUAUGUAUCUUUCAAGAGCUAAGUGAGUAGUUAAUGUUAUAUACAGUGAUGGAGGAGGGAGCCCUAGUUAUCUGUAUAUCACUCUCUCAACUCCCAAAGUGAGGAGGUUGCCUAGGAAAGUGAAAGUAUACCAAACACUAGACUAUUCACAAAGGAAGUAGACCCCUUCUUAUAAAGACCCCUACUUAUAAAGUAGACCCCUUUCCCUGUUGUUUAUAUACCUCCUGUUAUAUACUCAUGUUAUAUAUUCAUAGGCCAGUUUCUCUAUGAUUAUUGGAUAUUGUAAACAUCUGAUGUUAACAUUUUAAAAUGAGCAUAUAAAUAUCAAAAAUAUAUAAAUCAAAAGCAAAUUAUUUGAGUACCUAAGAAUCAAGAGAGAUCCUGGGGAAACUGAUGGAUGUCUAGAAUAUUUUUGUAGAAAUGAGACUUACUACAGUAAAACAGGUAUAUUAUUUAUCAAACAAUUUUGUUACAAAAAGCAUCAGCUAUCGCUGGACUCUAAUAUACAAUUAACCAAGCUUUGUUCAUUCAAAGAAUCAAUGCAUAAUUGUAAUUAUAAUAAAGUUUGUUUAAAAUAAGAUAAAAGUUUUAUUUUAAUUACUUUCUGUUAUCUUUUCAAGAUAAUGUCUCAUUCAAUCUUUUGUCUCUACUUAUUAUAAAAUAUUGGCUAUCAUCUUUUCAUGGAUUCACAUUAAGCAGCCUUUCUAAUUCCAAAUUAUCUUGAAAUAACAAGUGCCUCCUAUGAGUACCUCUUCAUAUUGUUUUCUUUAUUAGUGUCCUUUCCCAUAACUGCAGAAUUUAUACAUACAGACUAACUUUUCUCAGUUUACGGACAUGAUAUCAGUGACUAUAGCCUUCUUUCUGUGGGUACAAAAGCUCUAAAUAAUAAAUACCCAGAUGAGCUAGGGACAUUGAGAAAUAGCCUUCCUCGUUUUUUUUAACUCAUUUUUUUCCACUCACAUGACUGUAAAUAAAAUAUUUAAUAGCUCUUACUUUAAAAAAAUUAGGCAUGAGUUUCUUGAUUUGGCAUGCUCAUUUACCUUUAUGUCAGGGGAGAAGUUAGAUUUCUCAACAUUAAGAAGAAUGUAUUUUUUCUUUGUUUUGCUAGAUUGAGUCAUAUUUGAAUUUUAUUAUACUUCAAAGUGUCAUGAAAAUACUUUUUUGCGGUUCUGAUAUUGUGGAAUUUUGAUGUUUAAAUUAAUAAAUGUCAUAACUAUAAGUGUUUUAAUGUUUUUACAAUAUCCCUAGGCUGAUAUUUAGUGAUCUUAUAAUAUCUAAGAUGUAGAUGAAAACUGGAAUCAAUUAAUCAUUUGCUGUGUUAUCAGCACUAGAUCAACCAUCUGGGUUUCUUGAAAACACCUGAAGGAUUGAAUUUUGCUUCAGUAUUGAUAAUGACACAGCCCAUAUACGCUACAUGGAAUGACAUCAUUUGCCCUUCCAGUGGCCCGCAUGUUGAUAAGUAUAAGAUGUCAACUUGAGUUAGUGUAAGUUACAUAUACAGAGAUUUCAUUAAAUGUGCUUAACAAAUACUGAACACAUUUAGAGUGUUGCUGAUUUAAUGUGUCAUAUGACCUUCCUAUAAUCAUUAGUCUUUGCAUAUACCAAUAUUUUUCAUUUGCAUAAUAUUUAAUUUGUAAACAAGGAAAUGAUUAAAAAACUGAUAAAAAUAGUUAUCUUAAAAUUUUUGUGUUACCUUUUUUUCUGUGAAGUUCAUAGAGAAUUUGAGUGUAUAAGAGAUUAUCAGAAAAUACUUAUUUUGAUUAAAAAAAAACAACCUCCCACUGGAUUCAACUAAUUGAAUCAUGAAAUGCUACUAUUCAUUGUUGUAUACAUAAAAGGGAAUGUUUUGUCUUCUUCUUGUGAAAGGAUUUGUGUAUGUAUUUCUACAUAUCCAAAUUGUUUCUCUUAACCCUCAGUAAAAUGUGUUUUUCCUACAUUUAUUUAAUAGGCUUCAAGAAUAAAGCUAAAGACUUUUGUGUUUGCAAUGCUACCUCCCCCAUUCCUGCACUACCAUUUUUUUUCAAAAUUUCUGUAUUGUCAACUUUAUUUUUUCCAAAGAAAUAAAUUCUAUCUCUGUGUUAUUUAAAACUGGUGGUUAUAUGUAACAAACAAAUGAGUAAAUAUGCAAAAGAAAUGGUAGAUUAUUAUUUUGCUGAAAGAAUUAUAUACGAUCAGAAAGUUACAUGUUAUGUUAAUCUUUAAUAUACUGAAGUUUAAAAACUAACUAAAUUCAAGGAUCUUAUCUAACAGCACUGCAGUUGCUUAUGGCAUACAAGGCUAAAACUAAGUUAGCUAUUUAAUCUUAAUAAUAACAAUGUAGUUAAAAAUCUUUGACUUUAAUAGUGUUCUAUAUAUAUGAAUAGCUAAAGUAAUGUUCCUAUAACUGUAAUCUAACAUUGCUUAGAUCAAGAAAACAUUGCUAGUGUAAUGAGACCAUAGGAUUUGUAAUUAUUGCUAUUUUUCAUUUUUAAUAACAAAGUAUGUGUCUUAUUUUAUAGGAAAAUGAAGAAAAUUGGUGUAUACUCUAAUACAUACAUAAAUCUUUGUGCACACGCUUUAAAAAAUGUACCAAUAUUUUCUUCGUAUAUAUUAAAUGAAUGCAUACACUUAUUAAAUGCUUUAAUGUACUUUUUACUCUGCCUUUGUCUAUAGACUGCACUGGAAAAUGCAGAAUGUGGGUUAAUCAUCUGAAAGGAUACUUAACA